AGUUGUGUUGUUAAAGUUAAAAAUUAUGCAGUUGUGUUGUUAACAAUGCAUGGACCUAUGUCUUGAAUGCAGUCAAACUAUUAACAAUGCAUUACUGUAUCUCUUUUAGCGAGUUUCAGUAUUCACCACUGGAUUGGAUGGGCACAUAUAACUUUUAGCUUUAGUGAGAGCGAUUCAUUUUGUUGCUUUAGAAAUCGUCAUGGAUUUUCACUUAUAGUAAAAUUGGUUUAAAUCAGUUCUUAAGAAAUUCUAUAACUUCAGGUAAGCUGGAAUUGCAUUCGCCUGGUAUUGACAUCUAUAGUAUUGAAUUGAAUUAUUGUAACUCAAUUCAGUUGAAUAUCCAAAUGCAGCAUUAACAAUUCAACAAAAGCUGUUGGACAAACAUGUAUUUUAGAGCAUCUGCUGUUCGCUUGUGAUACUUUCCUGGUCUUGCAACAGUCGAUUCCUUUCUAUUUCAUUUUCUGCUUUAUUCUAAACUAAAGUCAUGAUUGUCCAACUAGUCUGUUUCUUUCAUGCUUUACUAAUUCUGUGUUUGUUUUUGCUAAGGUUGCAUGUGCCUCUGUAUGUGGCCAUACGUGCCACCUGGCUUGUGGGAUAUAUGGGCUGUUGAUCAGGUGAGCUUCACCAUGCAGCUGAACGGGCUCAUAAAUCAGGCUAGUCCAGUCAUCUGGUGAGCCAUGUGUGGAUUCAAUGUGGGUCUCUGGCAAUUUUCACUAUACCAUCCAUUUUGUUCCAGCAUGUGUGGCCUGCCUGAUUUUCAGACCAGAUCAUCUGAAGGGUAGAACCCUCUUGCGUGGCUGAGAUGUCCCUCACAUGGUUACCAUGUGUGGCCAUGCAUGAGCUUAGCACUGCUACUGUGUUCAAACAUCUCCUCAUCUGCCAGUGACCUAGAAGUUGUAAUACUUAACAAGGCAUGUCGAGGUUUUAUUCUCUCUUAUGUUGUCAUCCUCUGCUUUCCAGGUUUUGUCUGGUUGGUCCCUGGCCUGCAUUUACAUCUUGGCUGUUAACAUCUGGUGACUAUGGUAAAGGUAAAGAUAGGCCCAUAUGCUUAUUUAUAGGAAAAUGACCAAAACAAACCCAGUUGCUCCUGUUGACAGGACAAUCUUUCUACCCAGAAAGAAUGAUUGUGCUAUGCUCAUAAACUGUUAGUGCUAUAUAGAUCAAGAUGUAUCUGUUGUUUGUGGGUAUUGUCUUCUCAUAGUGGCUGAGUUGAGAAUGCAUUGUCAGAUAGAAAGACUGAGGAGGCUUGCCAUCUCCGCUCCAUCAUGUGGUGAUCGGGUCUUUAAUCUUGAAAAUCUACCUGCAGAUGGGCUGCGUGGCGCUUUUAGUUUCUGGUGCUUGUGAUGGCUCACUUGUAGUCUGGAGUGCUGACCAUGCUCAAGAGUCGCGUGAACUUGUUCCCAAGCUGAGUUUGAAGGUCCUUGAUGCCUGCCAUGUGCUCUUAUGUUACUUAUCUGCACAGAGAUUGGACUGCUCUAAUCACCCAUUUAUGGCAAGUUUCGCCUGUUGAAUGUUGAUGGAUGUUUGUAUUUUGAGUUAACUGUACCUUUUCAGGCUACUGACCGGAUGUGUGUAGGACAUUCAAUCCAUGCUUUAUGUUAUGUAUGCUCCAUCAUGAAGAUCACUGGCACGCAAAUCAGGUCUGUUGCUCAUCAGGCGAACACCCUAUAUGAAAACAGCUCAUGAUUUAAAUAAGAGUUGCCACUUUCUGAUUCGAUUUACACUUGUGUCCCACCGGAUGACCAGAUUGGCCUGAUUAUUGUCUUGGGUGAUCAUAGUCAAAUUACACCAUGCCAACUUAACAACUCCUGGAUUUGAUACAUGAAGGAUUUCAGACUCAAAUCUGAUUCCCAAUGUUUAAAUAUAUCAAGUUUACAACUGGUGUGUGUAUUAUAUAUAUAUAUAUGCACUUAUUAUUUUUCUAAAUGAUUAUAAAAGAGCACGUUUCCUCGCCCCAACAAUGUUUUACUGUGCUAGAUGUUUUUCUUUGUUUUGUCAUUAAUAAUGCUUUUCUUAAACUUCAGGUUCCUCAUGAACCAUCCUUGCAUAUGGAUGAUUUUGUCCGCAUCAAAACCUGCAUGUAGGCGUGUUCUAAAAUCUAUUACACAACAAAAUGGGUAUUACUAUUACCUGUUUCCUUUUCAUAGGACUUGAUAUUUUGUCUGUUUAAGGGUCUGGAUGGUUAUUCAGUUCAA